rnacentral:rRNA from 1 species
AAUAUUGGACAAUGGGGGUAACCCAGUUCCAGCCAUGCCGCUCGUGUGAAUUAGUUCUCCGUAUUGUAUAGCACUUUAUGUUGGAAGAAAGGGCUCUAGUUUAAUACACUGAAGUUUUGACGUUACCAAUAGAAUAAGCACCGGCUAACUCUGUGCCAGCAGCCGCGGUAAUACAGAGGGUGCAAGCGUUAAUCGGAAUGACUGGGCGAAAAGCGCGAGUUGGUAGUUCAGUAAGAGGGGUGUGAACUCCCCGGGCUUAACCUGGGAACUGCUUGCAUAACUGAUGAGCUAGAGUACGGUAGAGGGUAGUGGAAUUUCCUGUGUACCGGUGAAAUGCGUAGAUAUAGGAAGGAACACCAGUGGCGAAGGCGACUACCUGGACUGAUACUGACACUGAGGUGCGAAAGCGUGGGGAGCAAAC